rnacentral:lncRNA from 1 species
UCAUGCACAACUGUAGGUGAUGGUUUUCCAUUCCUUGUUUCAGUUUCUAAAUUCUUCAUUUACACUUUAUCUUCUAAUUUGCAAGAACUAGCAGAAACUGAAACAUAAGAACAAAAAAUAAGUCAAUCUUACAACAUUUUCAAAAAAUAAAUAACUCUCAAAUAAUAAAUUAUAAAAACAAUUCUUAAAAGUAGUUUUAGAUUACUUUUAGAAAUAAAAUUUUAUGUGAAAACCAAAUAUAAAAACCAACUUAUUUUUUAGAUGCAAGUAUAAUAAAAAAAAAAUCUAAAAUAUUCUUCAUGUUUUUCAUUGCUUUUCCAAUUACUAAAAAAAAAAACCUUUACAAACAAUCAAAUUGUUCUAAAAAAGCUAUAAAAUUUUCAAUAAAAAUAUUUAUCAUAUGUAUUCCCAUCUUAGAAUUCUAUUUUCUAUUCUUUGGAAUAGUUGAAAACAAUUUCCAACAUACCACAAAGAAAGAGAACACAAGAAAUUAAAGAAUCAAUUUUUUUAAAUAAGAUCCAAAAAAAAAAAAAAGGAAAAACAAUAAAUUGAUAUAUAUAUAUAUUUGAUAGCAUUGAAAUGGAGAGGGAUAGUCAAUUCAAGAAUAUAUUUAAAUAUUUUUAAAUCUUGAAAGUAUGCAAAAUAAUGGAAAACACCUAAAGAAUUAAUUCUUUAAACUUUUUUUUUUCAAACAAUAUCUCAACAUCUUAUGGGAGCAUGACAAUGAGAAUGAUUAUAUUUAUAGCAGCCUCAUUGGCUUCACAAACCAUGUUGAAAAGUUCUACAAAAUACAAAUUUUUUAAAAGUUCCCACUUGAUGCAGUCAUAUUUGUAAAUAAAUAAGUAAAUUCAUUGAUACAAUUUUUUUAAGAGAGAUUGUAAUCUCAAAGUCUUCUAAAGCUUUAUAAGAGUUUCCAUUAGAUUUUUCAUUCAUAUUGUUAACCUUUUGUUAUGAAUUUGGGCUACACUUUUUGUUUUCUAUUUUUAAAAUAGAAAAUAAUACAUAAAAUACAAAAAUUCCUUAAGAAUUACAUUAAAAAGGUAGUGAUUUUUAAAAAUUAUUUAAAAUACCACUAACAUUCUAUAAUAAAUUUAAAAAUACUAACAAAGGAAGAAAAAAGUGUAUACCCUGUGUAUGAGAAAACCCAUGCAUUCCUUCCAAUAAAUUUUAUUGGAAGUGGGUUAUAAAAUGGAAUGUCUUGCAUUGAGUUGAACCCUGAACUAUUGAUGAUUUUGUAAAAUAUUUAUGCAAGAAAAAGACAUGGCAAUGAACUACAUCAAAUCAAUGAGAAGUGUCAUCAUAACAAGGGAGGCAGUUAUGUUGGUGGGCUGUAGGACAUUUUCUACUAGGAGGUGGUAAAGUAAAUGAGGGCUCUAAAGGGGGUGGAGUAAAAAAUGCACCAAAAGCACCAACACUCGGCAAAUGUGAGAGUGUCUAUUCCAAGGAAAAAUCAAUAAAAACACCAACCAUAAAAAACACUCUAGAAAUCACUUGGAAUAUGAAAUAAUAAUACCAUUAUCAACCUACCAUAGAUUUUAACAGGAACAACAACCUAUUAAAACAAUAACUUCAUCACAACCCAAUUAUAUAAAUCCAUAAAAUGCCCAAUUCCCAAAUUUUCUUCAAUCUAGUGCUUCAAUAGACAUAGUUCAAUGCAUAAAAACAAGUAAAUUGGUACCUAUUUUGGAUCAGCAAAAACAUGAUUUGACUGACUUAAUUUUCUUAAUGGCAUUACCAAGUACCAAAAAAGAAAUGAAGUAUUGGCUAGUCACUUUGUUGGGUUCCAAGUAUAUAUUCUUAUUUCUAUAGUGAAUAGGAAAAUGUGUUUUAUGACAAGUUAAAAGAAUCCCUUAAAUUGUUAUGACAAAAAGGAAAACAAUGGACUUUUCAAGAGCAUAUAUAUGUAAGGAAAUUUUUUUUAAAGUUUUUUUUCACCAAUUUUUUAAUUUUUUAUUAUUUAGAAAAUGAGGUAAUCAAGGAGUAUCUAACUAUAAUACCUAAGGUAAUUAAAAAAAGAGACCUUAACUAUUUUAUCAUUGCUAAUAGGCAUAGACAAAUUAGAAUGGUCAGAGACUUGCACACAUAGAUGAAGUAAGAUAUGCAACAGAACUAGUAUUCUACUUAAUCUAGACUUGAUAUAUUUAUUGGUUUAAUCAGUCCACAUUCUGAUGCAAGUUCAAUCACCUUAUUUCUACAAGUCAAUAACCUCCAAAUUAGUUAAAAAUGUAGAAGGAUUCCAAUAUAGCUAAUUCCAAAUGUUUAUAUUGAGAUAUCUGAUGAAAAAAAACCACACAAACAUGAACAACAAAAAAUAUAUAUAAGGCAUUAUAAAAUGGUUAGUUACAAAGGUGUUUUUUAUCUUUUUUUUUUUGGUCAUUUUUCAUGGUUUUUUUCUAUAAAUCUAUUCCAAACACUAACCCAUUCUACAAAAAUGGGUCCAUUGUAAAAACUUGGAACAAUAAAUAUGGCAGCUUUUUUUUUCUUGAAAUUUUUAAAAUAAAAAUACUUUCAAAUGAAACUAAUUAUCAUGAAGAUCACAUUUGACACGUACCACCCACAAUGGUACUAAAUUUUAUAGUUGAUCACCAAAAUUUUAACCUGAUAUCAUUGGAGACAUGACAACAACCAAUGCUUUGCCUAUUUAUUGGCUAAAAACUAAGAUGAGAAAUUGGAGAAACCAUGGAAAUCUAAAUCAACUAAAACCUUCUCACAAGCAUUUUAAAAACUAUAUGUUUACCUUUUAUGUGUUUGACUAAAUGAAGUCCUCGAAGAUAGAGACUACUUUUGAUUGCUAAAUAGACCCACCAUCCACAUCUAGCAUAAAAGCAUUUUUAAUGAGCUAUGAACAGUGUGAACCACAAAAAAAUCUAGUUCAAUCAUGGCUUCAAGUGCAAUAAUAUGUUCAUUAAACUCAAGAAUCUUGUUUCCACCCAGUUUGUAUUUUUUUUUUUUUUUUUGAGGAGAAAAUUGCAUUACUUUUACUAGAUAUCAUUGGCUUGUACUAUUUCCUUUGCUAUGUACUUACCCAAGAAAUGAUGUAUAUCCAUUGAAGUAUGGGCUUCAAUUUCUGCUUUUUUGUCACUUUGAACCAUCACUUUAACUCAUCUCUGUAGUUUUCUUAACAAGAUAAGAUCAAAACAUGAACCCUAUGGGAGAACAACUUUCUUUCCCUAUAAGCCAAAAAAUCUAGUAAAAAAGUAGAGAUUUUUCCCAUUACUCGAAUCCUAAACAGUGUGAAAAAUCCAUUAUUAAAAACCAUAGUUUUCUAACACUUCGUGGACAAGCAAACAAAGCAUAACAUUCCUGAAAAAUCCAAAUUUUUGGGGAAAACAGAAAUCUACCUAUUUCACCAUCACUAACAGUGGUAGUCGCCCAAAUCUAAAAAAUUAUUGAAGCUCAGGUAAUCAAUAAUUUGUUGACUCAGAAUCUCUUAAACCAAACCAAGAAAUAAAAAGUAGCAGUCGCCCAGAUCUUGAAAAAAUCGAAGACAAAAAAACCCUAACCCUAGGUUGAAAAUGAAAGAAGAAAGGAAAAAGAAGGUUACUACCAUUUGAAGAACAAGAGAGAUACUGCGAAUUUGGAUCCAAACCCAUCAAACUACCUUCUCUUGGAUAGGUUUCAAAAAGCAAGGGUUACAGAGCUUUUUGAGGAUGACCAUCU